rnacentral:rRNA from 1 species
AACGAACGCUGGCGGCAUGCCUAACACAUGCAAGUCGAACGAGAUCUUCGGGUCUAGUGGCGAACGGGUGCGUAACGCGUGGGAAUCUGCCCUUUGGUUCGGAAUAACAGUUGGAAACGACUGCUAAUACCGGAUGAUGACGAAAGUCCAAAGAUUUAUCGCCAGAGGAUGAGCCCGCGUAGGAUUAGCUAGUUGGUGUGGUAAAGGCGCACCAAGGCGACGAUCCUUAGCUGGUCUGAGAGGAUGAUCAGACACACUGGGACUGAGACACGAUCCAGACUCCUACGGGAGGCAGCAGUGGGGAAUAUUGGACAAUAGGCGAAAGCCGGAUCCAGCAAUGCCGCGUGAGUGAUGAAGGCCUUAGGGUUGUAAAGCUCUUUUGCCCGGGAUGAUAAUGACAGUACCGGGAGAAUAAGCUCCGGCUAACUCCGUGCCAGCCGCCGCCGUAAAAC